rnacentral:rRNA from 1 species
CAUUACUGAAUUGUCGACACGAGUUGUUGCUGGUCCUCAAAACGGGGGCAUGUGCACGCUCUGUUUACACAUCCACUCACACCUGUGCACCCUCUGUAGUUCCGUGGCGUGGGGGACUCUGUCCUCCUGUUGUGGUCCUACGUCUUUACACACACUCUGUAACAAAGUCUCAUGGAAUGCAUGACGCGUUUAACGCAAUACAAUACAACUUUCAGCAACGGAUCUCUUGGCUCUCGCAUCGAUGAAGAACGCAGCGAAAUGCGAUAAGUAAUGUGAAUUGCAGAAUUCAGUGAAUCAUCGAAUCUUUGAACGCACCUUGCGCCCUUUGGCUAUUCCGAAGGGCAUGCCUGUUUGAGUAUCAUGAACACCUCAACUCUCAUGGUUUGCCAUGAUGAGCUUGGACUUUGGAGGUCUUGCCGGCCUGCGGUCGGCUCCUCUCAAAUGGAUCAGCUUGCCAGUGUUUGGUGGCAUCAUGGGUGUGAUAACUAUCUACGCCUGUGGUUUUCUACCAGAUAACCUUCAGUGAUGGAGGUCCGCCGGAGCUCAUAAAUGUCUCUCCUCAGUGAAGACAGCUUUUUGAACGUUUG